AUGCCAGCCUGCCCCUCAGAAGACGACAGCACUGCCAGAUUAAGGGUUCAGAGGCAAAAGAGGAAAAAAGUGUUCAUUUGUUUAUUUCAAAAUCUCAGGGGGACAAUAAGUAAGAAUAUUUUGUUUUUGCUUUUCCACCUCUCUGGCCAGCCAGCAUUGGGUGUGAGUGGCGCCGUCGGCUCUGAGAGUCACCCUGGUCCAGCGCUCUUUGGCCGGCCCUGCCGCCGCUGCCGCCGUCCACACUCAGCGUGCAGGGAAGGUGGUGGCCACAACAGUGCCAUCGCCGCUGGGGCCUGCGGGGCCCUGUGCAUCGGGUACUGCAUCUACUUCGACUGCAAGAGAUGGAGAGACCCCAAGUUCAAGAACAGGAUGCGAGAACGAAGAAAGAAACAGAAGCUUGCCCAGGAGAGAGCUGGACUUUCCAAGUUACCUGAUAUUAAAGAUGCUGAAGCUGUUCAGAAAUUCUUCCUUGGAGAAAUACAGCUUGGUGAAGAGUUACUAGCUCAGGGGGGAGUAUGAAAAGGGUGUGGACCAUCUGACAAACUCCAUAGCUGUGUGUGGACAGCCACAGCAGUUACUUCAAGUGUUACAGCAGGCACUGCCACCGCCAGUAUUCCAGAUGCUUCUGACUAAGCUUCCAACAAUCAGAGGAUUGUAAGUGCUCAGAGCUUGGCUGAAAAUGAUGUGGAAUGA